rnacentral:rRNA from 1 species
UACGUAGGUGGCAAGCGUUGUUCGGAUUUACUGGGCGUAAAGGGCGCGUAGGCGGCCACCGCAAGUCGAUUGUGAAAUCUCCGGGCUUAACCCGGAAAGGUCAACCGAUACUGCGGGGCUAGAGUGCAGAAGGGGCAACUGGAAUUCUCGGUGUAGCGGUGAAAUGCGUAGAUAUCGAGAGGAACACCUGCGGCGAAGGCGGGUUGCUGGGCUGACACUGACGCUGAAGUGCGAAAGCUAGGGGAGCGAACGGG